UGGCAGAUGGGCAUGUGUGUCAGCUGCCAAGGGACCUCAGAUAGGAUCCAAAUAGGUCUGCGAUUUUGGAGGGCAGGACAUUCUCUCCUUUGCUCCUCUUCUUAAAUGCAGAACCGGGGGAUAGAACCAUUUGUCUUAGAUUGCCUUGGUUCCUGGGUGCAUCUGAUUCUGCUUACUUCCAUUAUUGUCUUCUUUUUCUCUAGUGGUAGGAUUAAAGAUGGAUGCAGCCUGCUGGCCUCCUUCAACAUUCCCAUAUACCUACAGACAUCCUGAGGAUGUACACCUCUACACUGAGAAGCACGGGCUCCUGAAACCUGCUUGUCGGGGCUUUCAUUUAGCUCUCUCGACAAAUGUUUGCAGAAUUUCAGCUUGAUUACUGGAAAAUGGUGGGAAGCCCACACUCUCAUGGGCAGCCCUUCCUUUGCUGGCUAAUAGUAUUUGUUGGACAAUUUUAUUCCAUAAUAACAAAAUCUGCAUCCAGCUUAAUUCCAGCUCUGCCCUGGAGCAACUGAGAACAAAUCUGUCUUCUCUUCCCAUAUGACAGCUCUUCAAAUAUUUUAAACCCAUGCUCAUGUCCCUGAAGAGUCUUUGCUUCUCUAGGCUAAGUAUUUUCUGUCCUUUCAAUUCCUAUAGUCAUACUUUGAGUGACACAGGAUCCAAAUUACUCGUUAGGAUUGUGCAGUAGUGAAUUUUUGAAAAAAAUUGGUGCUGAAUCCAGAGAGACCUGAAUUUGAAUCACCUUCAUCCAGUGGGGCUGACUGAAAGGAGACUUGGUGGUCACAGUCUAAGCUGCCAUCAAUUGCCAUCACCCACACAUUUGGAUUAAGUAACAUUUACUGAACCAUUAUUGUGUGGUAGGAGGUCAAUUCUUAUUUAAAAUAAGUAUUAUUAUUUCUAUUUUAGAAAUGGAAAGAAACCCUGGCAUAUAGAGUUUGACCUCAUUUCCCUUGGAUCAGACAGCUAGUUUCUGACAAAGCAAGGAUAUGAACCUGUGGCUUCUGUUUCCAAGUCAAGUGCACGUCUAUGACCAGAGAAGUCACUACCCUGGAGGCUGGGCAAGGAACUGGAAGUGCAUAUGACUCACCUUGUGCCACACAGAGUGGGAGGUGAGCCCACGAUUGCCAACAGAUUAUUCCUGGAGUGCAGAAGGGACUGGGGCAGGAGAAAUGGAAGGGGCGUUUCACUCUGUACUCUUUUAUAGUUUGAAUGGUUUUAAGAAUAUAGUGUAUUCAAGUAUUUGUGUUUUUGAAACACAAAUAAGAUGUUUAAAAGUUAGACUGGACCUUCCAUUCAGUUCAACUCCAAAGGCUCAGCCGAAAUUACUCGCGAAUAAAGAAGAGUCUCAAAUGUGAGAGGUGAUAUGGCCUGGUGGCUCAAAUUCUGGGAUCUGAAACUCCAGAGCCUACAUUCCAGGCACAGCUAUACCCCUUACUAACUAUGACCAUGAGCAAGUUAACUAAUCUCUUUUCUUCUCUAUUCCCUCAUCUAUAAAUGUGGAUAACAAUUUUCACUACAUAUUUAUGGAAUAUUUUUGUCCAGAACAAAGUUCCUUCAAUUUUUAAAAUUGAGGUAUAACUUUAAAAUCAAUAAAAUUAACCCUAUGUAGUGCAUAGUUUUAAGAGUUUUGACAAAUGCACAAAAUCAUAUAAUCACUUCCAAAUGACAAUAUAGAAUAAUCCCAUCUACCCGCCUUGUGUCCCUUCGUAUUCAAUAGCUCUCGCCUCCUUGGCCUCUGGAUAGCAGUAAUUAGCUUCUGUUACUAUAGUUUGUCUUUCCCAGAAUAUCUCAUAAGUGUUAUAUAUAUAACAUUCAUAUGUUUAUUUAUACACACACAUAUGGGCUUUCAGUCUGGCUUCUUUCGCUUAGCAUAAUAAAUUUGAGAUUAAUUCACAUUGUUGUGUAUGUCAGAAGUUCAUUUCUUUUUAUUGCUG
rnacentral:lncRNA from 1 species